GGGAGGCAGCAGUGAGGAAUAUUGGUCAAUGGACGAGAGUCUGAACCAGCCAAGUAGCGUGAAGGAUGACUGCCUAUGGGUUGUAAACUUCUUUUAUACGGGAAUAAGUGAGGCACGUGUGCCUUUUUGUAUGUACCGUAUGAAUAAGGAUCGGCUAACUCCGUGCCAGCAGCCGCGGUAAUACGGAGGAUCCGAGCGUUAUCCGGAUUUAUUGGGUUUAAAGGGAGCGUAGGCGGACGCUUAAGUCAGUUGUGAAAGUUUGCGGCUCAACCGUAAAAUUGCAGUUGAUACUGGGUGUCUUGAGUACAGUAGAGGCAGGCGGAAUUCG
rnacentral:rRNA from 1 species